AACAGAUUUACUCUGAACUGACGUAGGAAAGAGAGCGGCGGAUGGGUGAGUAACACGUGGGGAACCUGCCCCAUAGUCUGGGAUACCACUUGUUAUCAGCUCUCUAUACCGGAUAAGAAAGCAGAUCGCAUGAUCAGCUUUUAAAAGGCGGCGUAAGCUGUCGCUAUGGGAUGGCCCCGCGGUGUAUUAGCUAGUUGGUACCGCCAAGGCUUACUAUUGUUUUUUAUGCAUAGCCGAGUUGAGAGACUGAUCGGCCACAUUGUGACUGAGACACGGCCCAAACUCCUACGGGAGGCAGCAGUAGGGAAUCUUCCACAAUGGACGCAAGUCUGAUGGAGCGAGCCCGCGUGAGUGAAGAAGGUUUUCGGAUCGUAAAGCUCUGUUGUUGGUGAA
rnacentral:rRNA from 1 species